rnacentral:rRNA from 1 species
GACGAACGCUGGCGGCGUGCUUAACACAUGCAAGUCGAACGGUGAACCAGAGCUUGCUCUGGGGAUCAGUGGCGAACGGGUGAGUAACACGUGGGCAACCUGCCCAGACUCUGGGAUAACCCCGGGAAACCGGAGCUAAUAUCGGAUAUGACCACUUCGGACAUCCGAUGGUGGUGGAAAGUUUUUCGGUCUGGGAUGGGCCCGCGGCCUAUCAGCUAGUUGGUGGGGUAAUGGCCUACCAAGGCGACGACGGGUAGCCGGCCUGAGAGGGCGACCGGCCACACUGGAACUGAGACACGGUCCAGACUCCUACGGGAGGCAGCAGUGGGGAAUAUUGCACAAUGGGCGAAAGCCUGAUGCAGCGACGCCGCGUGAGGGACGACGGCCUUCGGUUGUAACCUACUUUCAGCAGGGACGAAGCG